CAUAUUUUAUGGCAUAUUUUAGCGGUUUUAGCUGCAUAAAAAUCCGGUCUUUAGUUAUUAUGAAUGCUCCAUUGCCACUCAUGCCGAAAUAUGAUGUAAGGCCAUCAUAUCAGAUAUGGCCAGAAACUGGGGUCAUUUUUCAAAUAUAAAUGAUUUUUUCUCUGAUAUAGAACAGUAUUUUAUAGUACAGGAAAUUCCCCCACACAAAUGGGUUGAUGUUGCCGUUGGCCAAUUAGAAGGAAAUCCUGCCAAGUGGUGGCGAACGGAUGGCAGAACAAGAGGAGGAGGUAGGGUUUGGACAUAUUUUAAAAAUAUGCUAACUGAAAUGUAUUCCCCUUUGGCAGAUGAAGUGGCUUUAAUCAAGCAAUUAUUUAACUGAACUUAUAAUGGUCAAGGAGAUGUGGAAAGUUUUCUUUGGGACACUGUCCAGUUGUAUAGAAGGUGGAGACCAUUGGCAGCUGAUGCUGAAAUAAUUCAAUGCAUGAUCGCUCAGAUGUCAUUGAACAUGAGAGAAUUUUUGGAAAAUAGAAAUUUCCCAGCAGUCAACGAAGCUAUUAGAGCUACAAAACAAU
rnacentral:lncRNA from 1 species